CAGGGGUUCUGGUAAUGUUCCCUUUCCCUGUUCCCUACAGAAACUGAGCUUAGAAAAGUGGAGUAAUUUGGCUAGGUUUACACAGUAAAUGGAGAAUGUAGAAUUUAAGCUCUGUAUCAUAAACCUCCAAAAUCUGUGCUAUAUUGUACAUCAUUUUGAUGAGAUUAUAUGUUUUAUAUUUUUUCUUACAGUUUUCUGCACUAACUUUUCUAAGACAGGUUUGAGGCACUGCUGGACAGUGCUCUGCGUUGCCCGUUCGCGACAUGUGAGGAUGUAAGAACGCUUAAAAUGAGAAAGACUGACUUAUUUGUUCUGAGUCAAUGCCUUCACAAACUUGCCUGCUUUUCUACCUCCUCGUAGAUGGACGAUGUCAUCUAUCUGGUCGUUGCCUGAAGAAUUUCUAUCACAGUGGUUUCUUCAGGAAUGUUUCACACCCCAAACUGGAAGCAAUCCAAAUGUUCCACAGCUCAAUGGAAGAACAAAUUAAGGGUCUCACUAUGCAUUUCAGACUGCCCUGGAAC